rnacentral:rRNA from 1 species
GAUGAACGCUGGCGGCGUGCCUAAUACAUGCAAGUCGAGCGAAGCGCCUGCUUCUGAACUUUCGGGUGAAGAAACAGGCGACUGAGCGGCGGACGGGUGAGUAACACGUAGGUAACCUGCCUCACACAGGGGGAUAACAGUUAGAAAUGACUGCUAAUACCGCAUAAGCGCACAGGACCGCAUGGUCUGGUGUGAAAAGCUCCGGCGGUGUGAGAUGGACCUGCGUCUGAUUAGCCAGUUGGCGGGGUAAAGGCCCACCAAAGCGACGAUCAGUAGCCGGCCUGAGAGGGUGGACGGCCACAUUGGGACUGAGACACGGCCCAGACUCCUACGGGAGGCAGCAGUAGGGAAUAUUGCACAAUGGGGGAAACCCUGAUGCAGCGACGCCGCGUGAGCGAAGAAGUAUCUCGGUAUGUAAAGCUCUAUCAGCAGGGAAGAAGAUGACGGUACCUGACGAAGAAGCACCGGCUAAAUACGCGCCAGCCGCCGCGGUAAUAC